rnacentral:rRNA from 1 species
UACGUAGGGUGCGAGCGUUAAUCGGAAUUACUGGGCGUAAAGCGUGCGCAGGCGGUUCGUUGUGUCGGCGGUGAAAGCCCCGGGCUUAACCUGGGAAUGGCCGUUGAAACUGGCGAACUGGAGUGUGGCAGAGGGGGGUGGAAUUCCGCGUGUAGCAGUGAAAUGCGUAGAUAUGCGGAGGAACAUCGAUGGCGAAGGCAAUCCCCUGGGCCUGCACUGACGCUCAUGCACGAAAGCGUGGGGAGCAAACAGG